GACGAACCGUCCAAACGUUGUUCGGAAUCACUGGGCUUAAAGGGCGCGUAGGCGGGUUCCCAAGUCGGUGGUGAAAUCUUUCGGCCCAACCGGAAAAGUGCCGCCGAUACUGGGGACCUCGAGGGAGGUAGGGGUCGAGGGAACUUCCGGUGGAGCGGUGAAAUGCGUAGAUAUCGGAAGGAACGCCGGUGGCGAAAGCGCUCGACUGGACCUCUUCUGACGCUGAGGCGCGAAAGCCAGGGGAGCAAACGGG
rnacentral:rRNA from 1 species